CUAAAGUGAGGCAUUGAUUCCUUCUUGCAGUUCUCAUCUAGUUCAACACUCCCAAGCAAGGAUGACCAAAAUGGGAGAAACAGAGCGGACCAAAAGAAAGGAAGGAAGAACAAAGAGGAGAAAAAUCAAUCCUUGUUCUCAGCUCAAGCUUUUCACAUUCACAUGUAUACGGAUAUGGAUGAAGAGCAAAACGAACCAGAACCCAUUACUUCCAACUUAAUUUUCUCGUCAAGCCUUGUAAACCAGUGAGCCAAAGGCAGAAGAGAAAAAGAGAAAGCACCAGAUAGACGGCAACGACCAAUGAAUUGCACACAGCUGCUAAUUAAGCAUACAUACCUUCAGCAGAGAAGAGCCUAGGAGGGAGGGCAUCAGCUGCCUUAGCCCCUGAGGAGCCAUGGACCUCAGCAACAGCAAGCAAGGCAAAGAACAGCAGUCUCCAUCCACCGGGCAAGCUCCAUGCCCCCAUCUCUCCUCCCUCUCUCGGUCUCUGCUGCUCACCAAGCUCUUCCAAGCGGAGCGCGAUGGCAGUGCCGCAGUGGUGAGAAGACGAGAGGAGUGAGUGGCAGUGCCGCAGUGGUGAGAAGGCAAGAGGAGUCAGUGACUUGGCUUUCUAGGCAAAAAGCCGCUACUUUGGGUGGUCAGACGGUCAGUCUCAUCUUCUGCCCCU